UUUAUUUGAUCGGUUCUUGUAAAACAGCCCAUUUGUCCCCAUUUACAUUUUUUAACACCCUGAACCCCAGUCAUAUCACUUACUAGGAGUUUAAUAAUAUUAACUAUACUUAGGCAAAAUAUGUCAUCUUCCUCCUAAAUUUUAUAUAUAGCAUAUAAUUAGUUAACAUGAAAUGUAUCUUUUAAAGAAAGGGAGCUACACAUUUUGCAAUGUUUAAUAUGCUUACUGAGGUCUUUUAGAUAUUGGUCUCAUUUUGGGAAAUGGAGAGUGUUAGAAAUUAAAGACAUUCUAGAGUCUCACCUGUCAUUUAAAUUGUAGAAGACACAGAGCAAAGUGGACAGAUUAAAAUUGGAAUUUCUUUGGGCACCAGAGGCUUAUGCCUGUAAUCUUAAGUAUUUAGGAGCCUGAGUUGGACAGGAUUGUGGUUCAAAGCCAUCUUGGGCAAAAGGUUUGCAAGACACCACCUCUGUCAAUUAAAAAAAACAAAACCAACAACGGAGUAUAGUGGAAUACAUCUAUCAUUGUAGCUUUGUACAAGAAAUGCAUAUAGGAGCAUUGUUAUUUAGGCCACCCAGAGGUGAAUGUGAAAGAAACCCUCUCAAAAUUUACCAAAGGAAAAUGUAGUAGAAUACUUUUCUUAAGGCUCUGAGUUCAAACGUGAGUACUCCCAGUCUUUUUUCUUAAAUUGGAAGCGUCACUCAAAUGAAUUCUCUUUGUGAUUAAACAUGAAUUUGUUAUGUUUUAUCUGCUUCCAUUAAUCUUAAGAAGUGUUUUUUUUUUAUAGUUUGGAGUAAUGGUGUUUUUAGUUCUGUAAAGUGUGUAUGAUUUUCAGAUGAACCUGUCUAUACAUACAAAUAUGCUUGUGUACAUGUGAAGAUAUGUGUGCAUACACAAAGUGCAUAGAUCAGAUACUUGUGCACCCACAGCUACCCACAUGAAGAUACACAGGGACGUUUAAACAGAUGUGCAUAAACAUUCAUGUGGAUACAUUAAGCUACAUAAAGGCACGUGUGUAAAUAAUACAUAUGUAGAUAUAUAUGCAGACACGUGUAAACACAGGGUGCACACACUACAUGUAGACUGACACAAGGAACCAUACAUAUAAACAGAUAGCAAACACAGAGAUACAUUGUGUACACAGCUACUUACAUAUAGAUGCACAUUAAAAAUCUCGUGUGUACACACACACACACACACACGUAUACACACUCCUUCACCUUUUCCUUCCUCUCCUCUUCCGUUGUUCUUACCUAAAAGGUAGGGCUUUGUAUAUAAUGCUCUGUACCUUGUUUUCUUCCCAUAGUAGGAUACUGAGAUCUGCAUUUAUCUUGUUUCUUGCUUUUUUUUAUUGUUGCAUGUACAGCUUUAUUCAGCUGAUUCUCCAAUCAUCUUUCCUUAACCUUUUGUUGUUGUAAACAUGUAUUGCAUAUGUCACUUUGUGUAUUUGCUAUUCUAUCUGUAGAAUAGAUCCUAAAAGGGAUGUUGUGGCAUGGUCUGAGGGUAAAUAGAUUUUUGUACUUUGAUAUUUUUUUCAUAUUUGGAAUCUGUUGUUGCAUUUCAUUGUAGCUGUACCUUUAUUUCAAUACAUGUUGUAUUGUAAAUGUAACAGUUUUUUUAGCAAGCUAAUAUUACUUGGAGUUUUUUAAUGUAUAUUUUGUUAUUAUCAAUUCAUAUUAAAAGUAAAAAUGAUCCAUGUAGCUU